GAUGAACGCUGGCGGCGUGCCUAAUACAUGCAAGUCGAGCGAACGGGCGAGAAGCUUGCUUCUCUGAUGUUAGCGGCGGACGGGUGAGUAACACGUGGAUAACCUACCUAUAAGACUGGGAUAACUUCGGGAAACCGGAGCUAAUACCGGAUAAUAUUUUGAACCGCAUGGUUCAAAAGUGAAAGACGGUCUUGCUGUCACUUAUAGAUGGAUCCGCGCUGCAUUAGCUAGUUGGUAAGGUAACGGCUUACCAAGGCAACGAUGCAUAGCCGACCUGAGAGGGUGAUCGGCCACACUGGAACUGAGACACGGUCCAGACGCCUACGGGAGGCAGCAGUAGGGAAUCUUCCGCAAUGGGCGAAAGCCUGACGGAGCAACGCCGAGUGAGUGAUGAAGGGCUUCGGAUCGUAAAACUCUGUUAUUAGGGAAGAACAUAUGUGUAAGUAACUGUGCACAUCUUGACGGUACAUAAUCAGAAAGCCACGGCUAACUACGUG
rnacentral:rRNA from 1 species